AAUAGAUACCCGGGUAGUCCACGCCGUAAACGAUGAGUGCUAAGUGUUAGAGGGCUUCCACCCUUUAGUGCUGCAGCUAACGCAUUAAGCACUCCGCCUGGGGAGUACGGCCGCAAGGCUGAAACUCAAAGGAAUUGACGGGGGCCCGCACAAGCGGUGGAGCAUGUGGUUUAAUUCGAAGCAACGCGAAGAACCUUACCAGGUCUUGACAUCCUUCGCUACCUCUAGAGAUAGAGGGUUCCCCUUCGGGGGACGGAGUGACAGGUGGUGCAUGGUUGUCGUCAGCUCGUGUCGUGAGAUGUUGGGUUAAGUCCCGCAACGAGCGCAACCCUUGACCUUAGUUGCCAGCAUUCAGUUGGGCACUCUAAGGUGACUGCCGGUGACAAACCGGAGGAAGGUGGGGAUGACGUCAAAUCAUCAUGCCCCUUAUGACCUGGGCUACACACGUGCUACAAUGGAUGGUACAAAGGGUCGCGAAACCGCGAGGUGGAGCUAAUCCCAAAAACCAUUCUCAGUUCGGAUUGCAGG
rnacentral:rRNA from 1 species